rnacentral:rRNA from 1 species
CUGCGGAAGGAUCAUUACCAAGUGCUUCGAGCUUCGGCUCGACUCUCCCACCCUUUGUGAACGUACCUCUGUUGCUUUGGCGGCUCCGGCCGCCAAAGGACCUUCAAACUCCAGUCAGUAAACGCAGACGUCUGAUAAACAAGUUAAUAAACUAAAACUUUCAACAACGGAUCUCUUGGUUCUGGCAUCGAUGAAGAACGCAGCGAAAUGCGAUAAGUAAUGUGAAUUGCAGAAUUCAGUGAAUCAUCGAAUCUUUGAACGCACAUUGCGCCCCUUGGUAUUCCGGGGGGCAUGCCUGUUCGAGCGUCAUUACAACCCUCAAGCUCUGCUUGGAAUUGGGCACCGUCCUCACUGCGGACGCGCCUCAAAGACCUCGGCGGUGGCUGUUCAGCCCUCAAGCGUAGUAGAAUACACCUCGCUUUGGAGCGGUUGGCGUCGCCCGCCGGACGAACCUUCUGAACUUUUCUCAAGGUUGACCUCGGAUCAGGUAGGGAUACCCGCUGAACUUAAGCAUAUCAAUAAGCGGAGGAA